UCCGGUUUGGCACCGGCAGUCUCCCUAGAGUUCCCGGCAUCACCCGCUGGCAACUAAGGACAGGGGUUGCGCUCGUUGCGCCACUUAAGGCAACACCUCACGGCACGAGCUGACGACAGCCAUGCACCACCUGUGCAGGCUCCGAAGAGCACCCGCUUUCACGGGUUUCACCCUGCAUGUCAAGCCCAGGUAAGGUGGGGAUGACGUAGCUAAGCCUUC
rnacentral:misc_RNA from 1 species